UCAGAAACAAUGUGCUGAUCAGUGUUGAUC
rnacentral:piRNA from 1 species